UCCAGGGUAGCCUAGUGGACAUGGCAUCUGCCCGGUAAAGCGGAACACUGUGGGUUCGAUUCCCACCCCUGGAC
rnacentral:tRNA from 1 species